GAUGAACGCUGGCGGCGUGCCUAAUACAUGCAAGUCGAGCGAACGGACGAGAAGCUUGCUUCUCUGAUGUUAGCGGCGGACGGGUGAGUAACACGUGGAUAACCUACCUAUAAGACUGGGAUAACUUCGGGAAACCGGAGCUAAUACCGGAUAAUAUUUUGAACCGCAUGGUUCAAAAGUGAAAGACGGUCUUGCUGUCACUUAUAGAUGGAUCCGCGCUGCAUUAGCUAGUUGGUAAGGUAACGGCUUACCAAGGCAACGAUGCAUAGCCGACCUGAGAGGGUGUUCGGCCACACUGGAACUGAGACACGGUCCAGACUCCUACGGGAGGCAGCGGUAGGGAAUCUUCCGCAAUGGGCGAAAGCCUGACGGAGCAACGCCGCGUGAGUGAUGAAGGUCUUCGGAUCGUAAAACUCUGUUAUUAGGGAAGAACAUAUGUGUAAGUAACUGUGCACAUCUUGACGGUACCUAAUCAGAAAGCCACGGCUAACUACGUG
rnacentral:rRNA from 1 species